GUCGCCUCCAGCAGGAAGUGAUCCGCUCAGCAGGCACUGCUCUCGUUAGCUACCAGGUUCAUUUGACGGGGAAAGAAAAGUGAGCUAGAAACAGCAGAAAAUGACAAACUGUCCCCACAGUCUGUGCGGUCAGGGAGAUAACGACGUUAGAGAGUUGAUACCCAGGCUUAUGUACACGCUGCAGUUUGGAAACAACAUCUGGACUUCAGGCCAGAUUUGGGGAGUACAUGACUUACAGUUGUCCUGUGGACAGAUUCUCCCACCUGAGCUGCUGAUUUCUGCAGCUUCUUCAGAGUGACCAUGGGUCUCUUGGAAGCCUCUCUGACCAGGAUGACCAUGUCUUGGUACGCUGGAUUCUUCUGAUACUCACUUAAAUGUGUCCCUGGUGUCCAACGGUCGACAUCUGGAUUUUACUGGCUGGAGCAAUUUUCUCUGAGGAAACCAACACAAACUGGGAUAAAUGUAACUACUGUUGCUGAUUACUUACUUAUUGAUUACUUACUGUUACUUAAGCUUGCUUUGAGCUCUGUGUGGUGUAUUUUUUUGAAAAAUGAAAAACAACAACACGUCUUAAACUGCCAAGACAAAUAAUGAAAGUUUGACUCACACUUUUGUUUUUACAUCAU